rnacentral:snRNA from 1 species
GGCUGUGGGCGUGAUCUGGCUGUGACAUCUGUCACCCCAUGGAUCACUGGGGUGGAUUCAGCUGAUCUGGCUGGGUAGGUGGGUGUCCCCUUCCUUCCUCGCCGCUCCACGUGCGUCCCUCCCGAACCUGCACGACGAGCUUCCCCGAUAGAGGAGGACCGUUCUUCGGUCAAGGGUGUACGAGUAGCUGCGGUCCCCUGCUAGAACCUCCAAACAAGCUCCAUCAGCACACGCUGAUUUCUGUAAACAUCCAUCCUCCCCCACUCACUUUAUUAAGUUUAAGGUACAAAU